GAUGAAGAACGUAGCGAAAUGCGAUACGUAAUGUGAAUCGCAGAAUUCAGUGAAUCAUCGAGUCUUUGAACGCACAUUGCGCCCCCUGGUAUUCCGGGGGGCAUGCCUGUCCGAGCGUCAUUGCUGCCCUCAAGCACGGCUUGUGUGUUGGGCCUCCGCCCCCCGGCUCCCGGGGGGCGGGCCCGAAAGGCAGCGGCGGCACCGCGUCCGGUCCUCGAGCGUAUGGGGCUUCGUCACCCGCUCCGUAGGCCCGGCCGGCGCCCGCCGGCGACCCCCCUCAAUCUUUCCAGGUUGACCUCGGAUCAGGUAGGGAUACCCGCUGAACUUAAGCAUAUCAAUAAGCGGAGGA
rnacentral:misc_RNA from 1 species